rnacentral:rRNA from 1 species
UACGUAGGGGGCAAGCGUUGUCCGGAUUUAUUGGGCGUAAAGGGCGCGUAGGCGGUUUCUUAAGUUUGAAGUGACAGUGGGUGGCUUAACUACCCAAGGCCUUUGAAACUGGGGAACUUGAGGACCAGAGAGGGACAUAGAAUUCCGGGUGGAGUGGUGAAAUGCGUAGAUAUCCGGAGGAAUACCAAAGGCGAAGGCAGUGUCCUGGAGGGUGACUGACGCUGAGGCGCGAAAGCUAGGGAGCGAACAGG